GAUGAACGCUAGCGGCAGGCUUAACACAUGCAAGUCGAGGGGCAGCGCGAUGUAGCAAUACAUUGGCGGCGACCGGCGCACGGGUGCGUAACACGUAUGGAACUUACCCUUUACUGGGAGAUAGCCCGGAGAAAUCCGGAUUAAUAUCCCAUAAUAAACGAAGUGGCAUCACUUUGUUUGAAAGCUCCGGCGGUAAAGGAUGGCCAUGCGCACGAUUAGCUAGUAGGUGAGGUAACGGCUCACCUAGGCUACGAUCGUUAGGGGGCCUGAGAGGGUUAUCCCCCACACUGGUACUGAGACACGGACCAGACUCCUACGGGAGGCAGCAGUGAGGAAUAUUGCGCAAUGGAGGCAACUCUGACGCAGCCAUGCCGCGUGCAGGAAGAAGGCGCUACGCGUUGUAAACUGCUUUUAACCGGGAAGAAACCCUCCGACGUGUCGGAGGUUGACGGUACCGGAGGAAUAAGCACCGGCUAACUUCGUGCCAGCAGCCGCGGUAAUGUAUCG
rnacentral:rRNA from 1 species